AUUGUCCCCAGAGGAAGUGGCGACUAACUCUGUGCCAGCAGUCGCGGUAAUACAGAGGCCACAAGCAUUAGUCGGAAUCACUGGGCUUAAAGGGUCCGCAGGCGGUCCUCCAAGCGUCUUGUGAAAUCCCACGGCUCAACCGUGGAACAGCAGGGCGAACUGGAGGACUUGAAGAAUGUAGGGGCUGCCGGAACAGUAGGUGGAGCGGUGAAAUGCGUAGAUAUCUACUGGAACGCCGAUGGUGAAGACGGGCAGCUGGGCAUUUCUUGACGCUCAGGGACGAAAGCGUGGGGAUCAAACAGGAUUAGAUACCCUGGUAGUCCACGCUGUAAACGAUGCGCACUAGACUGGUGCGGUUUUGACGCCGUAUCAGUCGUAGUAAAAACGAUAAGUGCGCCGCCUGGGGAGUACGGUCGCAAGGCUAAAACUCAAAUGAAUUGACGGGGGCUCACACAAGCGGUGGAGCAUGUUGCUUAAUUCGAGGCAACGCGAAGAACCUUACCUAGGCUUGACAUGGCUGGAUUAACCCCAUGAAAGUGGGGCUACGCCCGCAAGG
rnacentral:rRNA from 1 species